rfam:Terrimicrobium sacchariphilum DNA, scaffold: TSACC_2, strain: NM-5.
UUUGCCCUGCUGUGUUCGCGAUUACACGGCGCAAACUCCCGAUCCGAUAAAUACAAUCGUCCCGGAGGCUUGGCUGGGCGGUGUGAUGACAUGCCUUCACUGGAAGUCAGAGCGCUGUCUGGCGGUCAUCCACCCUAAUCAUAGGGGAACGGGAUAUGCGUCAGAACGGCACGAGCAGGGCAAAA